UACGAAGGGUGCAAGCGUUAAUCGGAAUUACUGGGCGUAAAGCGUGCGUAGGCGGUUUCUUAAGUCCGUUGUGAAAGCCCUGGGCUCAACCUGGGAACUGCGAUGGAUACUGAGGAGCUGGAGUACGGUAGAGGAAGGUGGAAUUCCCGGUGUAGCGGUGAAAAUGCGUAGAGAUCGGGAGGAACAUCAGUGGCGAAGGCGGGCCUUCUGGACCAGUACUGACGCUGAGGCGCGAAAGCGUGGGGAGCGAACAGG
rnacentral:rRNA from 1 species